rnacentral:rRNA from 1 species
CCUACGGGAGGCAGCAGUGGGGAAUAUUGCACAAUGGGCGGAAGCCUGAUGCAGCGACGCCGCGUGAGGGACGAAGGCCUUCGGGUUGUAAACCUCUUUCAGCAGGGACGAAGCGUGAGUGACGGUACCUGCAGAAGAAGCACCGGCUAACUACGUGCCAGCAGCCGCGGUAAUACGUAGGGUGCGAGCGUUGUCCGGAAUUACUGGGCGUAAAGAGUUCGUAGGCGGUUUGUCGCGUCGUUUGUGAAAACCCGGGGCUCAACUUCGGGCUUGCAGGCGAUACGGGCAGACUUGAGUGUUUCAGGGGAGACUGGAAUUCCUGGUGUAGCGGUGAAAUGCGCAGAUAUCAGGAGGAACACCGGUGGCGAAGGCGGGUCUCUGGGAAACAACUGACGCUGAGGAACGAAAGCGUGGGUAGCAAACAGGAUUAGAUACCCUGGUAGUCCACGCCGUAAACGGUGGGCGCUAGGUGUGGGUUCCUUCCACGGGAUCUGUGCCGUAGCUAACGCAUUAAGCGCCCGCCUGGGGAGUACGCGCAGCAACACAAGAAUAGACGCGNGAGACGNGCGACGCGACACGAGGAGAG